rnacentral:lncRNA from 1 species
AAGGGUUGUAACGGGGCUUGGGGUAUUGGCUAACAAAGAAGGGUAAAGGAUAAACAAACGUUCUUAAAACAAUAGUAAGCAAAGCAAUGAAAUUGACACUUAGAAUUCACUUUAGAGUGCAUAAAACAACUUUAAACACAAAGGGGAAUACGCAUGCAUACUUAGGGUCAAAUGCAACGUUUUGGACCCUUUCUUCAACAACCAACAACUUAGAGCUCAUUUUCAUGCUCUUCCAACUCCUUUUCAUACUUUUCACAACUUUUUCUUUUUUUCUUUCUAUUUUGCACGAAUUUUUUUUUUUUUUUUUUCUUUCUUUGCCGUGCCUCAAUAUUUCUUUUGGCACACAAAAGUUCCUUCCCCCACACUUAUGUUUCUGCAAUACCUUGAUCAAAAGGAAUUCAUCUUGAGUCAUGCUUAACUACGCUUUAAGAACAAGGGUAUGGAUAAUCCUAAUCUAGGCUAGGUAAGGAUAAUGUGGGUUAACAAACAAUAUAGGCUAAACAAGGCUCAACGGGGUUAAACCUACAAAAACGAAUGCAUGGAAUGAAGGCUUUUUGGCUAUGGUGGUAACUACUAACUUCAUCUUGAAUAUGUGUUAUGCAAUUCAAUAACAUGUUUUGAAUGAAAUUGGCAUGAGUUCUAGCAUUUGGAACUAAAUGAUGAAACGCCUUCUAAGUAGUAACUAAGCAAAGAAUAAUGAGAUCAUGCUACGACUUCAGAAAACAACAAUGCACAGAUUUUAACUCUCCAAAUAAACGUUUAGGCUCAAGUCUCACAAGGUUGUAGCGUUUGUUUGAGUUCCUUCCUUCAAGCAUGUUACAAAAACUAAUUUUUUUUCUUUAUGAUUACAUGUGAAUUCAUAAGUGAUAACCACAACCAAGCAUAAACAAAGAGUAAAUCAAACUUUUAUCCAUGUUUAUAACUCUCUUUAACAAUCAUGCAAUUACAAACCGAAUCCUCAUCAUUGUGUUGGAAGGUACCCUAAGACACAAACAAGCACACAAAAAACAACUAUUUUUUGAGUUUUUUCAAAACCAUUUUUCAAAUUUUUAUGGGAUUUUUCGGAUUUUUAAGUCAAAACACACAAAAACACUCUAAAACAGCUUAAAAACACUUAAAACAGCAAGGAACAACAUUGUAAGUUAUGAGUGAUAAAACCCUACGAAUUUGCAUCAAAACACUUUGGUUACCCCCCCCACUUAAAUCGAAACAUUGUCUCAAUGUUUCAAGCAUAAACUAACACACAUAACACGUAAACAAACAAACAGCAACUAACAUAACAAACAUGGCAGCACAAAAUAAACAACAAAGAGAAGGGUUUAGGAACGCAAAUCUGGAAUUGGAGUGCUCUCUCGGUCUUCCUUUGUUGAAUGCAUGGGUUGCCUCCCAAGUAGCGCUUUCUUUAACGUCUUGCAGCCGGACGAUGCUCCAUUGAAGGUUUAUGGAACCCCACGGCAUGGAGGAGUUUUUUGAUGUGAAACAUAUAAGCACUCAAAUUAAACCCUCUUUUUAUCAAUUGUAGCAAUAUAUGUAAGUAGGGAUCGUUCUAGACCGGGGAUUAGGAGGGAUUGCAAAAUCACUUGGAAUUGACUCAAAAACGUAAAUACAAGUUUAAAAC